AGGGGAUGUAGUAGUGGUUAGAAGACUGCCUGAGAUGACAGGUUAUCCUACUAAAGGUCAAGUGAAGUAUUGAGGCCUGAUGACUAUUGUGAAAGUUUUACCUUCAGACGUGUAUGAAAUUUCCGACCUUACUGCAAUGAGUCAGGGUAAGAGACGACAAUUGACACGGACCACGACAGCACAUGCAGAUCAACUGAAACUUUAUAAGAUAGCCGAUGAAGAAGGAGAGGAAAUACAAUACAGCGAGUCUGAAGACAAAGGUGAAGAUAGUGACAAUGAAAUAGAGAAUAUUAAUGAGGAAGAAAGAUGGAAGA
rnacentral:lncRNA from 1 species